UUCUGCGACCUACACCACAGCUCACGGCAAUGCUGGAUCCCCGACCCACACUGGGGGUCAUGGAACAGGAAGCUCUACCACACUCUGGUUCAUGAGGAACUUUGAAAUGUUUGCUGAAAAUGGCAAUGAGGAACAAAGUUUUUCAGAAACAUUCUAAGCUCAUCCAGUGUGAGCUACCAUUAUACUACAGUUGAACUGACGCUGCAGUUCUAGGAGAUGGUGUGUUAGAGUCACAAACACAUCUCAGAGGCGAGACCCCCUCCCAGCCAUCAGUCUUACCUAGCCUACGAUCCUGGCAGGAAGAAGGCGUCGGAUGACUAUUUUGCUAAGUCAAAAGAGACUGUGAGGGGAGAAGGAAGAGAUGCUCACAUCUCCAACAGGGACUCCUCUAGGGGAGAAACUAAACCAGUGGAAAAAGUCACAGAGGCAGGAGGAAUCAUUCCUGAGAAAUGAACUGCGUUUGUGGAGAUAAACGACAGGCCCUAAACACCACCCUAAACCCUGACCGCUGUUAAUAUAGUUUAAUGUAAUCCUCACUGAUAGUGGUGGUCUGUGUAGCAUUUAAUCUGAUAUUAAAGUUAUUCCAGGAA